UACGUAGGGGGCAAGCGUUGUCCGGAAUCAUUGGGCGUAAAGCGCGUGUAGGCGGCCCGGUAAGUCCGCUGUGAAAGUCCAGGGCUCAACCCUGGAAAGCCGGUGGAUACUGUCGGGCUAGAGUCCGGAAGAGGCGAGUGGAAUUCCUGGUGUAGCGGUGGAAAUGCGCAGAUAUCAGGAGGAACACCAAUUGCGAAGGCAGCUCGCUGGGACGGCACUGACGCUGAGACGCGAAAGCGUGGGGAGCGAACAGG
rnacentral:rRNA from 1 species